UACGUAGGGUGCGAGCGUUAAUCGGAAUUACUGGGCGUAAAGCGUGCGCAGGCGGUUUUGUAAGCCAGAUGUGAAAUCCCCGGGCUCAACCUGGGAAUGGCAUUUGGGACUGCAAGGCUGGAGUGCGGCAGAGGAGACUGGAAUUCCUGGUGUAGCAGUGGAAUGCGCAGAUAUCAGGAGGAACACCAAUAGCGAAGGCAGCUCGCUGGGACGGUAUUGACGCUAAGGCGCGAAAGCGUGGGGAGCAAACAGG
rnacentral:rRNA from 1 species